rnacentral:lncRNA from 1 species
GCCGCCGCCCUGCCCCGUACGCGCCGCCGCCGCACCCGUCGCCCCGCGCCUCCGACGGCCCUGCUCCGGCUCCCCUUGGCCGCCACCCCGCUCGGUGCGGCCGCCCCUCCCUGCCCGCGACCGGCGCUGGCCCGGCCGCCCUCCCCUGCCCGCCACCGCCGCCGGCCCGCCACCCCUCGACUGGCCUGCGCAGCUCCGACCGGCCGGCCCUCCGCCUCGGCUCCUCUAGCCGGCGCUCCUCCAUCGGCGUCCCUCCACCGGCCGACCGCCCCUCUGCCCCGGCCGCCACCGCUCCCCUGCACCCGGCCGGCUCCCUUCCCGGCCCGGUCGCCCCUCACCUGUCGGCGGCCCUCCCCCGGCGGCCCUCCCCCGGCCAGCCCUCCCCCGGCGGCCAGCGCCUUGUAAUUCUCUCUCUUUUGAAAUUAGAAAUUAAGAAUUAGGAAUUAGAAAUUAGAAAUUCUAUUUUGAAAUUAGGAAUUAGGAAUUAGGAAUUAGGUAUUAGAAAUUAGAAAUUAAAAAAAUAGAAAAGGACUUUCUUUUAGAAAAGAUAGAGAGGUGGUAUUGUAAGGACUUUACUUUUAGAGAUGAAUUAGAAAAUGACUUUAUUUUAGAAAAGAUAGAGAGGUGGUAUUGUAAGGACUUUACUUUUAGAGAUGAAUUAGAAAAUGAAUUUCUUUUAGAAAAGAUAGAGAGGUGGUAUUGUAAGGACUUUACUUUUAGAGAUGAAUUAGAAAAUGACUUUCUUUUAGAGAUGAAUUAGAAAAGGACUUUGUAAGUUAAAAUCCAUGUCAAUAUAAUGCUAUUGUACCAAACACUUGCAAUAAAUGUGGUUGUCGGCCAUCGUGCCGUCUCUUUGGUGAGAAUGUGGUUGUUGGCCAUCGUGCCAUUUUUUUGGUUGCAGGUUUUGGAAAAACCUCCCCAUGCAGGGGAGGUGCUGCCAAAAUUUCGACUGAACAAUACAAUGUUUCUUUUCUUGCAGGAUAGGCUCACAAGGACCGUCCUCGACUCGUCACUUUGCAGGAUAGCAAGGUGAGGCAUCUUACACUUCUCUUUUCGUUUGAUGUUCGUAUAUAACGUAACCUAGUUAGGCGUCUCCCGUUCGAAAGAGAUAUGGUUGCAAAUAUGCAAAUAUUUGCAUAUCUAUAACCGUAUCUGUUUCGAAUUGUCCACGUUUUUUGGACACCCUGAGGAUGUGUCGGUGCGGUUAGUUUCCAUGCUCUACUUCGAUUCGUGACAGAGUUUUGGUAGCACCUUCCUGUUGUUCUCCGGAUACACAAUCUCCGAUCCUGGAUGUGUAUUUGGAGAACAGCGGGGAGGUGCUGCCGAAAUUCUAUCACGGAUCGGAGUAGGGCAUGGAAACUAAUUGCACCGACACAUCCUCGGGUGGGAUUAGGACCUAUCUUCACCUAUUAGACAGUGUAGGAACACGUAGGACCUAUCUUCACCUAUUACUCGCUGUUAUGUUAGAGGAUGGAUGACCGUGAGUGGAUGUACACGGGCCGCUCUAGUCAGGAUUCAUUGACCGAUGAAUGGAUUGAAAAGACCGAUGCAUUCUUGGAACGGGCAUUUGCCAGGGUCAAAGGGGCUAGUGUCACUUGGUGUCCGUGCAGUAGAUGUGCAAACAUGCGUCGAAGAACCAAGCUAGAAAUGGGCAAACAUCUUGUGAAGAACGGAUUUAUGCCAGACUACACCAUGUGGAUCUACCAUGGUGAAGCUGAUCAUGGAAGAGACGAAGUGUUAAGACAAUGCAUCGAGGAAUAUGAUGAUGAUGACUAUCAUGAAGCACAGUUCGAUGAGACACGUAGGGAGGAGGAGCAAGAGGCUACUGCAAAGGCGUAUUACAACAUGUUGUCUGCGGCACAGCAACCCCUGCAUGGUCAUACCAAGGUUUCUCAACUUGAUGCCAUUGCACGCCUAAUGGCCGUGAAGUCCCAGUUUAGCUUGAGUCGAGACGCCUUCGACGUUAUGCUGACUGUUUUUGGCAGCCUACUCCCGGAUGAUCACAUCUUGCCAAAGAGCAUGUAUGAGGCACAAAAACUCCUUCGUGCGCUUAAGAUGCCAUACGAGCAGAUACAUGCUUACCCGAAGGGAUGCAUCUUAUUUCGGAAAGAGUAUGCGGAGGCUAAGUACUGUGUGAAGUGCGAGUCGUCUAGGUUUCUGGAAGUAGACUCUAGUGAUGGUCAGAAGAGGCAACUCGCAAUCCCCGUGAAGAUCCUACGGUACCUUCCUUUCAUACCGAGGAUCCAACGGCUUUACAUGACAGAGGAAUCCACGAAACAGAUGGCAUGGCACAAAAACGGACGUCGAUACAAUCCUGAGAAGCUGGUACACCCAUCCGAUGGUGAAGCCUGGACAAGAUUUGAUGUGAUUUAUCGUGAGAAAUCUCUAGAGGCUCGUAAUGUACGUGUUGCGCUAGCAAUAGAUGGGUUCAAUCCAUAUGGAAUGGUAGCUGCCCCGUAUACGUAUUGGCCCAUAUUCGUUAUCCCCCUAAAUCUCCCCCCUAGCGUCCUUUUUCAACGAUAGAAUAUAUUUUUGUCGUUGAUAAUUCCAGAGCACCCGGGGAAUAAUAUGAGAGUGUACAUGGAGCCUCUGAUUGAUGAUUUGGUCUAUGCUUUGGAGGAAGGGGUAUGGACUUACGACCGAGCUACAAAGAUAAACUUUAAGAUGCAUGUUUGGUACCAUUACUCCCUGCAUGACUUGCCGGCAUAUGGGAUUUUUGUGGAUGGUGUGUUCACGGGAGGUUCCCAUGCCCAGUUUGCAAGGCUUCUCUGAAGUUCAUUUGGUUGAUGAAGGGUGGCAAAUAUUCUUCGUUCGACAAACAUCGAUAAUUCCUCCCUCCUGACCAUCCUUUCAGACAAGACAUUAAAAACUUUACGAGAGAUGUCGUAGUUGAAGACCUCGCACCGGAGAUGAUGACAGGAGCCGUGAUUCAUGCUCAGUUAGACGCUCUUGAGCUUAAUAACAAUAAAGGUGGUUUUGUGGGAUAUGGCGAGCAACAUGCUUGGACUCAAAAGUCAUGCUUGUGGAAUCUCCCCUAUUUUCAUGACCUUCUUCCGCAUAACAUAGAUGUAAUGCACACUGAAAAGAAUAUCGCCGAGGCAAUUUUUGGGACAAUUAUGGACAUUCCUGACAAGACAAAGGAUAAUGUUAAGGUUAGAGUAGAUCAAGAGAGGAUAUGCAACAGACCAAAGUUAGAUCUGGCAAGUCGUGGAGGAAGCCUAAGGCUGAUUUCGUCCUGACGAGAGCCCACAGGAGGGAGGUACUGUAAUACCUGCCAUUUUUAGUCAUCAAAGUGACUCUGAAGAAAUAGAAGCAAAUCAUGAAGAAAAGGAGAAGAAAUUGGCAAAAAAUCAAAUUCGGGUCAAAUUUGACCGAAAUUUGAAUUUUGAAUUUGAAAUUCAGGAAAAUUGAGCAAAAAUGUGGAAUGGAAGUGUGAAGGUGAUUAGAACUUGAAGAUCAAGCUUUAGGACGAGAUCUGGUACCAAAUGCUUCAAGGAAAUUUAAAGAAAGAAAUUGAAAACCGAAGUCACUCUUCACCGUCCGACAAUAGGAAGUUCAGAAAAACAGCAGCAGAGUCCAUUUUGGAAAUUAAAUUCCGACUAAUUUUCCAAAUAAGUGGACCAAGACAACUACAUAAUGAUGAAGUGUGGACUUUGGACAAUUAAAUUCAGGUGUGUUGAUCAAUAAUAGUAGAGGGAGCCAUUUCAAAUGGAGGCCUAAAGUCAGCAUCUUGUCACGGUAAACUGCACCACUGAAUUUAACUAAGUCUGAAACAGCAAUAUAUGGCCAAGUUUGGAGCCGAUUUUAGAGAGAUGUGGAGUAAAAGGUGUACAUGUUUAUGGGCAAAAUGGAACCCUUGGAUGUUGUAGAACGCAAAUGGAGAGAAGUUGGACUGGAAGAGAAGGAUUUGGAUCACUAAAUUUAUUUACGAAGUAGGGUAAAUGACCCUGUCAGGUGACUGACGAACUGAAUGUCUAGUUUCAGAGAAAUUCAGACAAAUGAAAGAAAGGAUUCAAAAUUUGACUAUACUAGGAUGAUUAUCUCGGGUCAGAGCAAAAAUAAAACUUGGAGAGUCCAAGUUUAUCUACAACAUUGCUUAAGGGACCGUGAAGCCGUCGGAUUGCAAAUCGACCGUGAAAAGGCUCUGAAGUUUCUGAUGAAAGAAGAAAGGGAGGACGGGUCAUAGGGUCGAGCUUGACGUGUCGCCGCUGGCGCUCUCGGUCGCCCGCCAGCGCGGCAGCUACGCCACCUCCUUGCCACGCGAGUCCCUAGCUAGACCACGGUGUCGCCCAUGCGUGCGGUAAAACGUUCAUAUAUCUACUGCUCCCGCGCCGCCCCUUUUACCGCCGCUCUUUUUCACCGCCGCCGCUCCUUCUGUCCAAGCUGCCGCCGCCGGGUAAAAUUCUCCCACCACACCGCAGCUCCCGUCGAUUCCUCUCGUCCACUCCUCCACAGAUACCCCAGCUACACCCUAGUCGAGUCGUUGUCCAGCAUCUUGCCGGUAUACCCUACGCCGCCGUUGUUUCUGUCCGCCGUCGCCGCACCUCCUGCUCACGGUGAGCACCUCUUUGCGCUUGCUCUCUUUCUUCUUGGGUAGUCGUAGGCGGGUCCUUGGGAUGCUAGGAAGCCGUAGAGGAAGUCGUCGGGGUAAGUUAAGCCAUUGUCGUGCUUCGCCACGACCGGCCGUAGGCGCCGCCGCCCGCCGCCGUGGAGGGAGUAGCUCCGGCCAUCUCCCGGGGAGCUGUCGCCGCGCCCGGGUGUGCUAUGGCAUGGGGAUGCUUCCCCAGCCUAGCCCCGUCGCCGGUGGGGCGCCGGCCGGCGAGCCGCGCCGCCCCCUGUUGCGCUCGGGAUUUUGGCAGGAGGAAGAAGAAGGCGCUGGAGCCGGGCCCGCGCGUCAGUGGGGAGAAGGGGAGAAGAGGAGGCAGGCCGGUCGGGCACGGGCGUCAGUUGGGCUAGCGUUCCGGAGGCCCAAGAAGCUGGGGCGGUCGGCCGUUGGAGAAAAAGGCCGGAGGCCCAGAAAUCCAGCAGGCCGGCGUUGCGGGAGAAAGAGAAAAAGAAAGAUGGGCCGUCGGGCCGUCGCCGGUUGGAAAAAGAAAAAGAAAAAAAGAAUCGGCCCAGAAAGCCCGUUAGAGGAGGGGGUAGGCCGGCGGGUAGGGUGAAUAGGAAAAAGGGUGGGUCCGCGCCACGGGCCCAGCGCAAGAGAGAGGGGGUAGAGUAGGGUCGCGUGAGAAAAGUUGCCGGGGGUGUUUUUCGGGAAAAACUAGAUUUCCUUUAUAGAAUAAUUAGUUUAAAUCCGAAUCUCACCAUUUAAAUCACAGAAAUUUCUAGGAGUGUCCAAAAUUAGUGAAACCAAUUUUGUUAGGCUUGUUUUAUUUUCCUUUAUGCAUUAAAAUUUUUAUACCCUAGAAAAAUAAUAAAAAUUUGAGUAUUUAUUUAAUGCCUUUCUUUUAAGGUAUUUAAAUAAAUACUUAAUCUUUAUUAAAUGCAUAAAAUAUGGAAUAACAUUUUCAUAAUUACAAAUUAUUAUUAAUUCAUAGGAAAUUAGGUUUUAAAGCUAGAAAAUAAUUAUAACAUUUUCUAAAAAUAAAAGAAAAGGCCUUAAGUAAGGAUAAUUAAGGAAAUAAAAAUUGUGGGCUAAUCUUUUCAGGUUUUUGUUUGUUGGCUUGCAACUUUAUCAUGAUAAAUUGUAUAGUCCUUGUUGGCUUGCAACUCUAUCAUGAAGGAAAGUUGUAUAGUCUUAUAUUCAAAAAUUUGCAUUCCUAACCCCUGCAUGUGUUGUGUUAUAGACACCGAAGCACCAGAAGGAGAUUUCUCGGAUUAUUCAGAAGGAUCUCCGGAAUUUGAGGAAGUCUUUGAAUUGGUCCCUUGCGAGGCCAACCCUUCGGACAGUGCUAACUUUUUUAGCGAACAAGGCAAGCCCCGGUGCAUUAUCCCUAUUAUUUUAGAGUCAAUACUUCAUGUGUCCAAUUAUUGGUUAUUUGCUAUAUGUAUGCACUAAGUCUAGAAGUUGUUUGAAACCCAUUCUUAUGCAUUAUCAUACCUUUUUUUAAGGACAUCUUUGCCACUUGUUCAAACCUUUAGUAGAUAACCCAAAUCUAGAAUUGCUUAGUUGGUUUAAUGCUUGGUUUACCAACCUUAAGGUGAAAAUUUUGAGUCAUGCAUGUUAACUAUGGAAAGAUGACUUGGAAAUUAAGAAGCGGACAGAAGCUAAGGAUGUAGUUUUGUCUGCUAGAUUAAUCUGGUUAAGGCCCGAUUCGUUGUCUUAACCUUUGAUCAAGUGAUAAUCAUCUGAUCACUUACUGGGUAUGGGACCAGUAAAGCCCAGUAGAUUAGUAAACUCUCUGAUCGGGAAUACUUCGUACCCGCGCUUGACGUGCUGGAGAUUGGCAGGGGCGUAGCCUGAAACUCACAUGGUGAUUGGGCCAGACGUGGGGUCCCAUGUGGGGGUGCGUCCCUGGGUCCGGGUAGUCUUAUUCCCAAUCAUUGGUUUUGCUAAUCGAAAAGUCUUUACGUACGACCUGGACAGUCGUAUAUAGCUGGUGAUCAGGGUACUCUCCUGCAGGAUGUAAUAUGAUCCAGAUCGCCGCAAUUCUCGGUUAUGAAUGCACUUGAUCACUGUUGAGCAUCAUAGCAUAAAUUCAUGAAUGUCAUAUCUUUCUGAUAAUGUUUGGUGUAUGACUUAAUACCUUGUUGUUUGCAAAUAAUCCUUUAUCAUCACCUAGUAUGGUUAGGUAAAGACUUAACCCAAGUAAAAGAUAAAACUAAGGUCUCACUUGUAGUAAGCUUUUUGGCAAAAAUGUAUCAGCCAAGUACACUGAAAAAGCUAUCAUGUACUUCCAAGAAAAACUAUUAUAAUGGUUAGUCGGGUAAGACUUGCUGAGUACCCCGUACUCAGGAUUAUCCCUUGUGGCUAUCUUUUCAGAAGCACCGCCGGAGUCCACUGAGGAGGAAGCCCCGAAACCCUAGGGUAUUGUAAUGAGCCUCACAAUACCCUUAAAAGAAGUUUUAUAAUGCUCAUCUCCACCGAACCGUUUAUGU